AUUCAAUGGGCUUCAAUGAAUCAAUAACAUAGAAAAAAAAACCUGUAGACAGACCUAAGCCACAACUGCAAUUGAAGUACGACAUGGUCUGUUUUUCUUUCUCGGAAUAAAGUCUGUUUUAUCAUUGCCUCUUAACGUUCAAAUAUUUGACGAAAUGUAAACACCCAGGAACUCUUACAAUUGUACAUGUUGCAGUGGCGUUGACCAGUUGACGAAUUCGAAUUCAUAAUUUUGAAAUAGCCUCUGUGCUGAAAUCGAUACACGAAUGGAAGUGGUGGAAUUCGGCUACAAACCCGAAUACCGAUGAGACCCAGACGUGUUUGUAUCUACAUGUAAUCAAUGGAAAUUAUGUCUAAAUAUAUGUUCAGAGCUUGAAAUAUUGACUGCUAAGUUAUUAUGCAAUGUUAAAGAGUGGUAUGGAGAAGUUCUUGAAAGUGAGGAAGCGAUUUUUUUCUUUUGUUUAAUGUGUGAAAAAAAAAGUGUUUUUGUGUGAUGUAUAAUGUAAACUGAAGAAUGUGUAAUGUUCAGACUGGAUUGGUUCAGAAAGGAUCCAUCAGAGAAGUAUAGAAUGGGCUGUGGUUCUAGCUUUGACGCCUCCGAUGGUCCUCGAACUGUGGUUGUGUUUGGUUCCACGGGACUACUAGGGGGUGCUAUAGCCCGCCGGCUACUCCAAGAACCUUUCUUAUAUAAAGUCCGAUGUGUUACGAGGAGAUCGUCUGGUGAAAAAGCUCGGGAGCUUGCCGAGCAUGGGGCUGUAAUUGUUAACGCUGAUCUCGGUGAAACCAAGAGCUUGGAGAAGGCACUAGAGGGCGCUGACAUCAUGUUCUUGACGACCCAUUAUUGGGAGGAAAAAAACAAAGAAAAGGAGGUCAUUAAGGGCCUGAACGCCAUUGAUGCUGCCAUUCAGUGCGGGGUCAAGCACAUCAUUUUUAAUGGUUCAGAAAAUGUAAAAAAGAUCAUCGGAAAAGAAUGUAACCAUCUCGACUCAAAGUCCGCCAUUGAAGAAUACAUCCGCGAAGUGGGUAAGUACAUGUAUGGUGGCGCGAUGAAAGGUGCUUGUCUUUCGAUUGUUAUACUGCAUUUGAAAAGUUUUUGAUCGGCUAUAAUCACUUUAUCGAUAUUGUCCUAAUAAUCGUUAUUUGAGAAUAUUUUUGUUCAUUGAGCGAAAACAUAACACACAUUUGAAUGAAAUGCAGAGUUGUGCAGCUUUACAAGGUUAAAUUGAACAGUUAACUUAUUCUUAGGAAUAACGUAGUUUUCUGUCCAUUUAGAAUUCAAAUAGGUAAAAAAAAUUAAAUUAAGAUUCAACAGUUUUCCCCCUUAUUCUAGAAAACAUAUCAUUUUAGGGUUUUAAUUAUCCGAUAUCAUAUCACAAAAGGUACAGAAGUGAUUUGUGGCCAAAAAUCCUCUCUUUAAUCAUAACUGUUAUUUCCAUUCUGCUUACUGCUUUCUAAAGACAACCCCUCCGUGGACGUGACGGGUAUAAAUAACUCGCUGCCGGGUAUAAAUUUUACAAUCUUACGUCUCCCCUUUUGGUUGGAAAACUUUUAUUCAGUCUUCAAGCCGCACAAGCUAAAACACGCGGUUUACGCCGUGGCCUUACCUCUGGAAGGCUCCGAGCUUGACGUAAUGUCAGUCGAAGAUGUAGGUGAAAUCGUUGCAUCCAUUCUAAGGCGACCUCGUCAGUAUUACGGCAAAACGCUGAAUUUGUCCGUGGAGUCUUUGUCCAUGGAAAACAUUGUCGAUACUUUUAAUCGACAUUUCGACAAUCGAAAAUUUACCGAUCCAAAGAUUAGAAUCAAAGACAUGGAAAAAUUUCAAUUUCCAGGCUCGAAAGAUUUAGCGGCAAUGUUUGAAUUUUAUCAAAGUGGACAGGCAGUGAGGGACAUUAAAUUAACUAGAAAGUUAAAUCCUCACGCACUGACGUUUGAUAGAUGGUUGUCCGAAAACAGGGACAAAGUCGAGGAGGCUCUACGAGAAGCGAAUUAGGAGAGAAAACUCAGAACCCAUUUACCUUGUUUACAAUAUUGAUGGGUUUUUUCAAUAUUUCUAUUUAAAGUAAAAUAGAUGUCGUAUGAAACAGAGGUUUUAUAGAAUAACCUUUGCUUAUACAUCGGCACAAUGAAAACACGAUGUUUCAUUAUUUCAACUAGUCAUCUGCAUUAUAAUAUUGAAUUCUGUUUACAGAAACAUCAACAUUCAAAAACGUCACCAGUGAUAUUGUAUUUAAAAAUGGGGUGUUGAAAUGUACUUUUUACAAAGUGAGAUUGUCGAAUAUUUUCAAUUAUAUGUACAAUGCAUAAUUACGUAUGCAAAAUUGUUUUUUUUUUUAAUUUUUUUUAUGUUACCAGCCAAACUGUGAUAUAUGCAUUUAUUCUUUUUUGUAAAUUUAAUAUAUAACAAAUAAAGAUUUAUCAAAUAU
rnacentral:misc_RNA from 1 species